GAUUGUAGUCUGCAACCCGACUACAUGAAGCUGGAAUCGCUAGUAAUCGCGGAUCAGAAUGCCGCGGUGAAUACGUUCCCGGGUCUUGUACACACCGCCCGUCACACCAUGGGAGCCGGGAAUGCCCGAAGUCGGUGACCUAACCUGAAAAGGGAGGAGCCGCCGAAGGCAGGUCUGGUAACUGGGGUGAAGUCGUAACAAGGUACC
rnacentral:rRNA from 1 species